UAACAAGGUUUCCGUAGGUGAACCUGCGGAAGGAUCAUUAUCGAGUUUUGAACGGGUUGUAGCUGGCCUCUCACGAGGCAUGUGCACGCCUGGCUCAUCCACUCUUAACCUCUGUGCACUUUAUGUAAGAGAAAAAAAUGGUGGAAGCUUCCAGGAUCUCGCGAGAGGUCUUCGGUUGAACAAGCCGUUUUUCUUUCUUAUGUUUUACUACAAACGCUUCAGUUAUAGAAUGUCAACUGUGUAUAACACAUUUAUAUACAACUUUCAGCAACGGAUCUCUUGGCUCUCGCAUCGAUGAAGAACGCAGCGAAAUGCGAUAAGUAAUGUGAAUUGCAGAAUUCAGUGAAUCAUCGAAUCUUUGAACGCACCUUGCACUCCUUGGUAUUCCGAGGAGUAUGCCUGUUUGAGUCUCAUGGUAUUCUCAACCCCUAAAUUUUUGUAAUGAAGGUUUAGCGGGCUUGGACUUGGAGGUUGUGUCGGCCCUUGUCGGUCGACUCCUCUGAAAUGCAUUAGCGUGAAUCUUACGGAUCGCCUUCAGUGUGAUAAUUAUCUGCGCUGUGGUGUUGAAGUAUUUAUGGUGUUCAUGCUUCGAACCGUCUCCUUGCCGAGACAAUCAUUUGACAAUCUGAGCUCAAAUCAGGUAGGACUACCCGCUGAACUUAA
rnacentral:rRNA from 1 species